rnacentral:rRNA from 1 species
AUUGAACGCUGGCGGCAGGCUUAACACAUGCAAGUCGAGCGGGGGAAGGUAGCUUGCUACCGGACCUAGCGGCGGACGGGUGAGUAAUGCUUAGGAAUCUGCCUAUUAGUGGGGGACAACAUCUCGAAGGGGAUGCUAAUACCGCAUACGUCCUACGGGAGAAAGCAGGGGAUCUUCGGACCUUGCGCUAAUAGAUGAGCCUAAGUCGGAUUAGCUAGUUGGUGGGGUAAAGGCCUACCAAGGCGACGAUCUGUAGCGGGUCUGAGAGGAUGAUCCGCCACACUGGGACUGAGACACGGCCCAGACUCCUACGGGAGGCAGCAGUGGGGAAUAUUGGACAAUGGGGGGAACCCUGAUCCAGCCAUGCCGCGUGUGUGAAGAAGGCCUUAUGGUUGUAAAGCACUUUAAGCGAGGAGGAGGCUACUCUAGUUAAUACCUAGGGAUAGUGGACGUUACUCGCAGAAUAAACACCGGCUAACUCUGUGCCAGCAGCCGCAGUAA